GGAGGUCGGGCAAGGAGGAAAAGGAUUAGGAGAGGCCCUUUUACCACUGGUUAAUCUAUGAGGAUUUUCACCCAAAAAAAAAAAAAAACAACCAAAAACAAAAACAAAAGAGCAGCAGUAAUUCAUUAAAUCAUACUACCAGAGAGUACAAAGGGACCUCAAAGAUCAUCUCAGACAACCCUGCCAUAUUACAGAUGAGGAGACUGAGGCCCAAAAGAAGAGAAGAAGCUAACACAGGCCUCCACAAAGGCUGGAACAGGGCCUUCUCAGAAAGGUGGGAUGCCCAGCAGAAAGGUCGAUGCUGGCUUCAUCAGUCCAAACUCCUCCUGCCUCCCCGAAAGAGGUCCUGGUGGCUCAAGGAGGAUACUGGCCCACCCGAAGAAAUCCACAAUCGGUGAGCUUCCCAGUAAAGUGUCACAAUGCGGUAGAGUUGUUGCAGAGAAGGUCCCCAGAGAUGCUGACCACCUGUGAGGCCCAGGCUCACUCCACUGGAUUCUCCUCCUCUCCUCCUAAAGGUCCCCGGGUACCUUCCCGUUCUUUCCUUUGAACUUUCAUUCAACAAGCAUUUGUUGCAGACCACUAUAUGCCAGACACUGUGGACAUAAUGAUGAGCUAAACAGAUGUCCCUGCCUUGAGCUUAGCACCUAGCGAGAGGGUCAGAGAGUAAGAAUCACCCGGAUAAACGCAAAAUGAACUCUGCAGGUGGCGCAAAGGGCCUGCACAGGGCGCUAUGAGGGCCCAGGAGAGAAGUCGGGGAAGGUUCUGAACUGCAGGAGCAGCAUCUGAACAGAGACACGCAGAGCAGUAAAGAUUAUGUGGGCAAAGGCUGCAGCAGAGGAAGGGAAAGCAGUCCAAGUCAGGGAAUGACCCGUGCACAGGCCACAAGGCAGAGGGAACAGCACCCUGGAAGGGAGGAAAAGAAGGCUAGUGUGGCUAGCAUACGCAGACUGCGGGGGAGCCCACUGAAGAAUGUAGCCACAGAGGCGGCCACAGGCCAGAGCGCCCAGGACCCUGCGGGCUAAGGUGCAAAACGCGAGUGCUGUUCUGAAAACAGGAGCAACCCAGCAGAGCCGUGAGCAAGGUGAGGGUGUGUGGCGCGACCAGAUCUGUGUUAUACAGGGUCACCCCCCGACUGCAGGGUGGGAAACAGCCUGUGGGGAAGCAGGGAGACCAGAUGGGAGGUCACUGCAGUUGGCCAGGCUCUCCCUGGGGUGGCGACAGUGGAGAUGCAUGGAAGUGGACACACUCAAGAGAGAUUCAGGAAGUCAAAACGACAGGGCUGGCAGAGGGACUGGAGGUGGCAAGUCAGGGGGCUGCAUCGAGAACAAUGAUCAGACAAGCUCGGUCCUGGCAUGUGGAAUCUGGGGGUCCGUGUCCUCACUCCCCGACCUGCACUGCUGGCAGACCUCGCUAACACCUCCUCAGCAUUUACCAAGAGCCAGGCCCUCUUCUGAGCACUGAUACGCACUAAGUCCCCUAUCACGGAAGGGAAGUGGUAGCUGUGACUUUGAACCCCUGAGGGCAGUCUCCAGGGCCUGAGAGCCACACCAAAGGCCCCCUCUUGACGAGCCACAGAGCACAGUGACUGAGUGCAGAGGUGGGUGACGCUGGGUGAGUUAUUCUACCUCUGAGGGUCCCAUCUGUGAAAUGGGGGUAUGAUAGUGCCAGCUACCAAGGACAGUCCCCACAUGGAUCAAAUAAGAGCAUCAAACAAAUCCGUCAGCAACGUGCCUGGCUCCCGGUAAGAACAACAACUGUGUCCCCAGCACCGGCAGAAGGCUCAGCAUGGGGCAGGUUUGUUGAAUGGAGGAACCACCCAGGUGCCCAGUAAGUGCUCAGCUGGUAAUGAGUGUCACACCCUGAAGGGUAUACGGCGAGGGAGGGUGGGUAGCAGGGAUACUCAAACACACGCGGGGUGGGGUGGUCACUUGCUGGGGACGCCGCACAAGGGAUCGGGGCCCGGGGAGGGCCUGGCCUGGAGGGAUGAGAAGCUUUGGACAGUCCUUCCCAAGCCUGAGGUUCAGCGACUCUCUCAACUCACCGGCCUGCCAGAGCACGGACAAUUUUAUGGAGCUCAGUUCCUUAAUCAACCUUACUCUGCCGGGGCUUAGAGCUGAAUCCUUUCCCCAAAUUGGACAUUUAUGGGGCUGGAGGAGGGGCGCGAGAGCAGGAUGGAUGAAGUGUCCACAUUCCAGCUGGGAGGUUACAGGCUUUCGUGUUCCUUCUUUCUAAACCCCAAACGUUCCCAGCCAGCCCUGGGAGUGUCCGUGUCUCCUCAGAUGGGCAGCCCCCUCCCGGACCUCUGGAUUCCAGCUCCUCCUCCUGUCUCUGGAGGGAGCCAGGCUGCUAGAACCUCAGAGGACCCCCAGGGCUCAACACAGAGCUGCCACAUGGGACUUGGUUCUGCCCAGAUGAGUGAAUGGACAUCUACUCGGUGUCUGGCACUCAGUGGACACACAGGUCAUGGAGAGGCAUGCUGCCAUCAAGGGACUCAAGGAAGGGCAUGAGCAAGCACGCAAAGGUAGACAACAGCAAGGCGCACGCUCUGGCUGACCUCUGCCAAUGCCCGGCUCCCAGGAGCAGUCCCCAUCCACGGAGGCCACAGACGGGGGGACCAGACUUCCACACGCACCCCCUGCCACCUUCGUGCCCAUCGGAGCCUGCGGACAUACCAUUCCUUGUGGCCACCCCGCCGUGGAGCACUGCGUCCCCAGAGCGCCGUGGUGUCUGCGCUGCCGGGUACGAUCUGUUAUUAU